GAUUUGUACUAGGAUUCCUAGCACAUCUUGUCGAGGCCAGAAUAUUUAGUAAAAUUAAGUUGUCAUUUCUGAUGGUGGGUCACACCCAUGAGGAUAUUGAUCAAAUGUUCAGCUGAUUGUCGGUUUGGUUGGCUAGAGAGCAGAUUUUCAAUGUAGAAGAGCUAAUUAAAUGUUUUGAGACAUGCUCUAGGAAAAUUAAUAUAACAGGUUUGCUGACUACAGAAGUCUAUGACUUCGGAUCUUGGAUGAGCAUAAACAACUUACGGAAUCACUCCCAGCCACAUGUUUUUAAGAUCACCAGAGAUGACACUGGGAAGUCUGUAUUGAAGUACAAGAAAUGGACAACAGAUAAGAAAUGGCUAGACUGCGGUGGAGACGAACAGUACCUGAUAAAAGAUAAUGCAAUAACAAAGGGGCCAGUUAAAAAACUCCAGGCAAAUACAGACAGACUUGACUUAGAGAAGUUGCAAAAAGACAUAGAAUCAGUGGCAAGAUUUUACAGGAACCCAGAUAUAAAGAGAU
rnacentral:lncRNA from 1 species